GAUGAACGCUGGCGGCGUGCCUAAUACAUGCAAGUCGAGCGAACAGACGAGGAGCUUGCUCCUCUGACGUUAGCGGCGGACGGGUGAGUAACACGUGGGUAACCUACCUAUAAGACUGGGAUAACUUCGGGAAACCGGAUCUAAUACCGGAUAAUAUAUUGAACCGCAUGGUUCAAUAGUGAAAGACGGUUUUGCUGUCACUUAUAGAUGGAUCCCGGCCGCAUUAGCUAGUUGGUAAGGUAACGGCUUACCAAGGCAACGAUGCGUAGCCGACCUGAGAGGGUGAUCGGCCACACUGGAACUGAGACACGGUCCAGACUCCUACGGGAGGCAGCAGUAGGGAAUCUUCCGCAAUGGGCGAAAGCUUGACGGAGCAACGCCGCGUGAGUGAUGAAGGUCUUCGGAUCGUAAAACUCUGUUAUUAAGGAAGAACAAAUGUGUAAGUAAAUAUGCACGUAUUGACGGUACCUAAUCAGAAAGCCACGGCUAACUACGUG
rnacentral:rRNA from 1 species